rnacentral:rRNA from 1 species
UCCUACGGGGGGCAGCAGUAGGGAAUUUUCGUCAAUGGGCGCAAGCCUGAACGAGCGAUGCCGCGUGAGUGAAGAAGGCUUUCGGGUCGUAAACCUCUGUCAGCAGGGAAGAACGGUCACUGUGCUAAUCAGCAGUGAACUGACGGUACCUGCAAAGGAAGCACCGGCUAACUCCGUGCCAGCAGCCGCGGUAAUACGGAGGGUGCGAGCGUUAAUCGGAAUUACUGGGCGUAAAGCGCUCGUAGGCGGUAUGUCAAGUCAAGGGUGAAAUCCCCGCGCUCAACGUGGGAACUGCCUUUGAAACG